rnacentral:rRNA from 1 species
AGCAGCCGCGGUAAUUCCAGCUCCAAUAGCGUAUAUUAAAGUUGUUGCAGUUAAAAAGCUCGUAGUUGAAUUUCGGGGUCAGUAGGUUGGUCGUGCCAAUGGUAUGUACUGGCUUUACUGAUUCCUCCUUCUUGAAGAACUGUAAUGCCAUUAAUUUGGUGUUGCAGGGAAUCAGGACUGUUACUUUGAAAAAAUUAGAGUGUUUAAAGCAGGCUUACGCUUGAAUACAUUAGCAUGGAAUAAUGAAAUAGGACGUUGAUCUUAUUUUGUUGGUUUCUAGGAUUGACGUAAUGAUUAAUAGGGAUAGUUGGGGGCAUUAGUAUUCAAUUGUCAGAGGUGAAAUUCUUGGAUUUAUUGAAGACUAACUACUGCGAAAGCAUUUGCCAAGGAUGUUUUCAUUAAUCAAGAACGAAAGUUAGGGGAUCGAGGACGAUCAGAUACCGUCGUAGUCUUAACCAUAAACUAUGCCGACUAGGGAUCGGAUGAUGUUAAUUUUUAAUGACUCAUUCGGCGCCUUAAC